rnacentral:lncRNA from 1 species
CUCAGGAAGUCGCCGCGGCGUCUCUGGAGCUGUCGCCUGAUGAUGACCAGAAGGCGCAGGGUGGUAUUGUACAGCGACUCCGCCACCUGCGUAAGGUGAACAACAUCACAGAUGGUCACCUGGAGGAGACGCAGCCACCUGUCCUCCCCCAGCAGCAGCCAUCUGAUGUGCCUUCUGAUGGACCAGCUGACAUCGAAACUGUGCAGUCCCGCGCCUGCACCAUCCUGUAGGCAACGGCAAAUUUGAUUCCAUGGUGCCGAACUGCGGAUGGAGUUUUCACCCUGCGGAUGGAUGAAAACGGCGGAUGUCUUUUCACCCUGAGCUUUCUGGGCCUGUACAUAUCGAGGAAUGGACGUCUAAACAUCACAUUUGUCGAAUAAUUUUGUACAUUUAUUCAUCUGUACAUGUUUGAGGUCGCGGAGGAAUCGGAUUCUGCGAGAGUGGUGGUCGGUCGGGAAACCAAACUUACCUGUUGUACUGGUUUUGCUGACUGUGAUGUUAGUGGUUGUAAGGUGAAGGUAUUUUUGCAAAAAAAAAAAAGAAUUUUUACCUGUAAUCGUGAUUUGUCAUAUUCAUUGUCGAACAAAGUAAUAUUUUAAGCGUAUUGAUGUGUGCGAUGGGGCACAAAUUUACCGCGAAAUUUUAUGAGACCAAAUCAUAGUUUCGUGGCCAAAAUAAAAUAAUCUGCGGCUGCAGAAACUAGCGUCGUUUGGUCGAAGAGCUGAUUUCAUCGUGCAUUUAACAAUAUUUGUAUUAUAAUCUAUGGACAUUUUAUUUUUAAGUGAGACUUGCAGCUUUUUGAGUCAAAAAUUUAGAAUGUACUUUGUGACUUUUGGCGCAUAAAAAAGUUCGAGAAAAAUUACAUUUAUUCGUAUGGACCAUUUCACGAUUUUCGAGACCGCACGAGUAAAUAGGCCGUUAAUUAGCUCUUUUAUUGAAAAGAUUUUCAGGCUGAAAUUUCUACACAUCUGAAAUUUCUGCAUAAAUUACUGCACAUUGCUAAUAAAUGUGAGCGUGCAAAAUCACUCCAAAGUAACAGAUCUCUGGCCCUCAGUCUCAGUUCUAUAUAUGUUUGUUACGUUUGUAAAUAUGUCUCUUCGUAACGUAGCAUUCAUCUUCACCUCCCUCCAGGCAAAUAAUGUUGAAACAAACUUAAUUACGAGUUAAUUUCAGUUGAAACAACGUUUAAUCACCGCUAUUUCAACGUUGAUGGCAUGAAAUUAAGAUGAACACUACAAAAGCAACGCUCGUCUCGUAAUUCUUAUAAUAAGUAAUUAGUCCAAACUUUCCUUCAGCAUUACUUAUUUUACGAAUGCCAAAUUUUUAUUCGUAAAUUAACGUUCAAAAAAUAUUUUACGAAAUUUUUGCUCAUUAAA